rnacentral:rRNA from 1 species
CCCGUCACAUCACGAAAGUGGAUUGUACUAGAAGUCUGCAGGCUGACCGCAAGGGGGCAGCGGCCAAGGUAUGAUCCAUGAUUGGGUG